GCUUCCAGGAAAAAGUCCAGAAGGCAAGUUAUCCUGAGAAAAACACUGGGCCUCCAGAAGGGUUUCAAAGCCUGCAAACCCAAUAACAUAGGGAUAAGAGAAGACAGAAAAAUGAACGAUACUGUUUCUGAGGUGUUACGUAUAAGCCUCACAUCAGAGUCACACGACAGUCACGAAUCAUAAUCAGGUCCAGUUCCAUAGGCAAGGUCUACUAUGACUGCUCUUCAGAAACAAUAGACUGGUAAGACCUGCAGAAGUCACCUCCUCUGCCUGAUGUCAAUGGGGCAGGAGACAGCAGCUUUCUUACCUUCCCAUGACUCCAAAUAAAGGAUACCAAUCCCCGAUGCAAAAACAUCAGAAGUGCAUCACCAACGGGGCCUGAUGCCGUCAUUAUGAUGACAUCAUUAUGAUGACAUCACUGGAUUGCUGCACUGUCCCCUGUAUCAGGAUUGCAGAAGAACAUGCCAGUCAUGGUCACAGGGGAUUUAUUUAUCCAUUGUCAACAUCACAGAAAUACGUAUUUGUUAUCCUUGUGGAUUCUAGGUGAAAGGUCAUCAUUAAAAUCCAUUUGCAAGUAUUUUUAUAACCCACAUUCGGUAAAUUACUUCAAAGGCACUUAAAACUUUAUUAUGCAUAAAUA
rnacentral:sRNA from 1 species